CGGGUGAGUAACACGUGGGUAACCUGCCCGGAAGUGGGGAAUACCUCGGGGAAACUCGAGCUAAUACCGCAUAACAUCUUUAGAACGAUGGUCCUGACGAUCAAAGCGGGGUCGCAAGAUCUCGCGCUACCGGAUGGGCCCGCGCCUGAUUAGCUAGUUGGUGGGGUAACGGCUCACCAAGGCUUCGAUCAGUAACCGGCCUGAGAGGGCGAUCGGUCACACCGGAACUGAGACACGGUCCGG
rnacentral:rRNA from 1 species